UUAGAUCUAGUUAAAGUUACACAAUAGUUUCCGGUGUAGAAACUAUUGUGAGAAAAUUAAUUGAAUGCCUAAAAAAUUAAACUAACAAAGGAAAUAAAUUGCUGAAGAAAAAUAUGGAAUGCUGAAAAAAAAAUAUAAUGCUGUAAAAAUAAUGGCAACAGAAACAAGGUUGCUGAAAAAGAAAAAAAAUGCUAAAAGCUAGAAAGCUGAAAACUAAAUUGCAGAGCGUAAAAAAUGUAAAAGUAGGCCGUCCCCAAUUUUUCCCAUUUGGGUCCUUUAUAUAGUGUUCAUUUGGUCUUAGUGGUUGAGAAAAUCAAGGGAGACUUGGUUUUGGUGGUUGAGAAAAUCAAGGGAGACUUGGUUUUGAAUGAGGGAUCCGUGGAGAAAAG
rnacentral:lncRNA from 1 species